ensembl:processed_transcript Gm13657 predicted gene 13657
AGUGGGAGCUGAGGCAUGGGGCACAGGGUUUUAUAAAGAGAGCAUGAUCUAAGGGAUGCAGUGUUGUUGUGUCUUAACAAUUUAGCUUGGUUCUAACAUUGUCUACUGGAGAUGGCAUCAGAACCAACAAAUUCUGGAGUGUCUCAGGAUUGCCCCGCCCCCACCUCCGCUUCAGACCAACUGCAGAUAAUGGUUGUGAAUCACCAUGUGGUUGCUGGGAAUUGAACUCAGGACCUCUGGAAGAGCAGUCAUUGCGCUUAACCACUGAGCCAUAUCUCCAGCCACCUGACAUGAACUCUUCAGCGACAGGCUAGCCUCUGCCUCUUGAGUGCUGGGAUUAAAGCUUCAGUUCGGUGCAGCUCCUGAUGGUACAGGGACCAGUUUACAGCUGGCUCCAAGCAUCAGCUGACAAGAGGAUCCAACCUAGCAUUGUCAUGGAUCUUAAAUGAAGCCAACACGUUAGCAAACCAGGUGGUUUGGAGUUGGGCCGUAUCAGAUGCCCAGAGGAAGGACACAAAUCACCAUGCCUCUGUAACCAGCAUGCCACAGGACCUGAGGAGAGUACAGCUAGCAUUAUUUUAAAGAUACAGACAACAUCGUAAGCCUGUGGGAGACACAUGCAUGGGGAAAGGGGUUCGGGGAGGGGGUUAAUUCCCUCAUCCAUUAUCAAUAAUCAUUUGCAUUGCUAUGUGAUUAGAUCUAUUUGAGGGAAAAACAAAAGCAAAAACCAAAACAAAACCUUGUUGGUCAGGCAUGGUGGUGUACACCUUUAAGCCCAGCACUCAGAAGGCAAAAGCAGAGGUAGGUGGAUGUCGAUGCAUUCAAGUCCAGCCUGGGCUAUAUAAUGACAUGCUGUCUAGAAACAAAACAAGCAGGCAUGUGUUUGGAGAAGGGUGGUCUAUGGCCAUUUGUUGCCACUGAACUCUACUGAGAACCCAGACCUGCCGGCAUUUUUUCACCUCUAUUGCCAUCUAGAGGAGACAAUUGGAAGGACAUGAAGUAAGUCCCCAGAUGGAAUUAAGUGAAAACCAAUACUGGAAAGAAACAUUUGUACAAAACUCUAAGAAUCACUACAGUUUGUUGGCUCCAACUUUAUGUUUUUCUCCUCUCUUUCCAUCUGGCUCAGUUACAGGCAGGAUUUGAAUAUCCACUUAUGGGCUUUUAUAUCAGCACUUCCGGCAUUUCGAGGGCUCCGGUGGACACCUCUUAUAGACAUAAAAUCAUGAAACUUUCUGAUGAGGUGGUUUGUUUGUUUGUUUGUUUGUUUGUUUACUUGGAUUUUGGUGAAUGGAGAAGAGGAUGGAGCCUUUCAACACAGAGAGGCAGUUUCCUGACGUCCAUAGCCUCAGAACCUAUUCAUUUUGUGGGGUGUUUAUAGGUAGCACGUUGGUCAAAUAUGUUUUGCUAGGGAGAGCAGUACUGAGCCGUUUUCUUUACAACCUUUAAAUUACUGGUGUGCACUGUGGACUUGAGGAGAUCAAACACGGGGCAAGCAGUGACCUUGGAGCCUCCUGCCUUUCACAGAACCGAUGGGAAAUAUCCUGUGUACACUUCAAGGACUGUUCCCACAGGCAAGAGAAGCUGGCCUGCUGCAUGCACACCAUGUGCAAACAGACCAGCCCUUCCUCAGCUCUCCUGCUCCUCUCUGUCUAAACAUUGUUGAAGCUUUGUUUUGGGGUUGAGUGGCUUAAAGACUGUAACCAUGGUCACUAACAACAGGGAUACAUCUUUGUGAGCGUAUCGUUGAGUGUGCUUUCGUAAGCCUCAAUGGUAUGAGCUAAUUUACUCUAUGACAUGGCCUCUUGUGCAACCAGCAACUGUAAAUGCAGCAUCAGGAGGCUGCUGCUGGCCUAACAUGACAAACUUUUAAGUAAACUCCUUUUGAUCUGGUCUGUGUUGUGCCUCUGCUCAUGCAUGAGGGGCCCAGACCAGGGUGUUUGUUAGGC